rnacentral:rRNA from 1 species
GACGAACGCUGGCGGCGUGCUUAACACAUGCAAGUCGAACGGAAAGGCCCUGCUUUUGUGGGGUGCUCGAGUGGCGAACGGGUGAGUAACACGUGAGUAACCUGCCCUUGACUUUGGGAUAACUUCAGGAAACUGGGGCUAAUACCGGAUAGGAGCUCCUGCUGCAUGGUGGGGGUUGGAAAGUUUCGGCGGUGGGGGAUGGACUAGCGGCUUAUCAGCUUGUUGGUGGGGUAGUGGCUUACCAAGGCUGUGACGGGUAGCCGGCCUGAGAGGGUGACCGGCCACAUUGGGACUGCGAUACGGCCCAGACUCCUACGGGAGGCAGUAGUGGGGAAUAUUGCACAAUGGGCGGAAGCCUGAUGCAGCAACGCCGCGUGCGUGAUGACGGCCUUCGGGUUGUAAACCGCUUUCGCCUGUGACGAAGCGUUAGUGACGGUAAUGGGUAAAGAAGCACCGGCUAACUACGUG